GAUGAACGCUGGCGGCGUGCCUAAUACAUGCAAGUCGAGCGAACAGACGAGGAGCUUGCUCCUCUGACGUUAGCGGCGGACGGGUGAGUAACACGUGGAUAACCUACCUAUAAGACUGGGAUAACUUCGGGAAACCGGAGCUAAUACCGGAUAAUAUAUUGAACCGCAUGGUUCAAUAGUGAAAGACGGUUUUGCUGUCACUUAUAGAUGGAUCCGCGCCGCAUUAGCUAGUUGGUAAGGUAACGGCUUACCAAGGCAACGAUGCGUAGCCGACCUGAGAGGGGUGUUGGCCCACCUUGAACCUGAACCCCGUCCCGGCCUCCUAGGGAAGGCACAGGUGGGAAUCCUCCGCAAUUGGCGGAAACCUUGCCGAACCACCGCCCGUUGGUUAUUGAAGGCUUCCGGUUCGUAAACCUUUUUUAUUGGGAAAAACAAAUUUUGAAGGUAACUAUGCCCUUCUGACCGGUACCUAUCAAGAAGGCCCGGCUAAAUACCGU
rnacentral:rRNA from 1 species